AUUACAGGUGUUGCAUGGCUGUCGUCAGCUCGUGUCGUGAGAUGUUCGGUUAAGUCCGCUAACGAGCGCAACCCUCGCUGUGUGUUAUAUGUGUCACACAGGACUGGACUGGGUAUUAAAGCCGGAGGAAGGUGGGGACGACGUCAAGUCAGCAUGACCUUUAUAUCCAGGGCUACACACACGCUACAAUGGUCAGUACAAUGGGUAGCCAAGCCGCGAGGCGGAGCCAAUCCUGAAAGCAGGCCUCAGUUCAGAUUGCAGUCUGCAACUCGACUGCAUGAAGCCGGAGUUGCUAGUAACCGCAGGUCAGCAAUACUGCGGUGAAUACGUUCCCGGGUCUU
rnacentral:rRNA from 1 species